GGCGUCGGGUAGCCCGAAGGCAUCAUGGCGGAUAGAGACAGCGGCAGCGAGCAGGGCGGCAGCGGCGGCGGGGCGCCGGGCUCGGGCCCUGGCGGCGGCGGGCCCGGCAGUAGUGGCGGCGGCGGGGUGGGCCUCCAGCACGAGACGCAGGAGCUGGCCUCCAAGCGGGUGGACAUCCAGAACAAGCGCUUCUACUUGGACGUCAAGCAGAACGCCAAGGGCCGCUUCCUGAAGAUCGCGGAGGUGGGUGCGGGAGGCAGCAAGAGCCGGCUGACGCUCUCAAUGUCAGUGGCGGUGGAGUUCCGCGAUUAUCUGGGCGAUUUCAUCGAGCACUACGCGCAGCUGGGGCCCAGCCAACCGCCGGAGCUGGCGCAGGCCGCGGACGAGCCCCGGCGGGCCCUGAAAAGCGAAUUCCUGGUGCGCGAGAACCGCAAGUAUUACAUGGAUUUGAAGGAAAACCAGCGCGGGCGGUUCCUGCGCAUCCGCCAGACAGUCAACCGCGGCCCAGGCCUCGGCUCCACACAGGGCCAGACCAUCGCCUUGCCAGCGCAAGGGUUGAUCGAGUUCCGCGACGCCUUGGCCAAGCUCAUCGACGACUACGGCGUGGAGGAGGAGCCGGCCGAGCUGCCCGAGGGCACCUCCUUGACGGUGGAUAACAAGCGGUUCUUUUUCGACGUGGGCUCCAACAAGUACGGCGUUUUCAUGCGGGUGAGCGAGGUGAAGCCCACCUACCGCAACUCCAUCACCGUCCCUUACAAGGUGUGGGCCAAAUUCGGACACACUUUCUGCAAGUACUCGGACGAGAUGAAGAAGAUUCAGGAGAAGCAGAGAGACAAGCGGGCCGCCGCCGCCGCAUCCUCCUCCUCCUCCGGCGGAACAGAGCAGCAACCAGAGACCGAAAUCAGCAGCAGCAGCACCGCUAUCCCCACUGGCCCGCCCGGAGCCUUGCUGCAGGCGGAGGAGCCAGAGGAGGAUUGAUCUCCAUCUAUCUUUCCUCCCUCCUCUCCACAUCCCUCCUCCCUGUUUGGCUGCCUCCUCCCUGCCCUGCGACACAGAGACACUGGUAAUAAUGACAACAACACACAGAGAAAGACAUUAUACUGUAAGGGAGAGAAAGAGAGAGAAAACCAACAUCCACAAGCCGAAAAUAAUGCAUACCGUUAAAUAUACCUGUUAUAACUCCAAGGGGAGCACCAUCUACCUAUCCACCACCAAAACUGACAGCCGAGCAAGCAACUUCUUUCUCUCACCCCAUCGCUGGAUUGUUCCUUCCACUCUUGCUCAUCGUAUAAAACAACUUUUACCAGUAAAUAUCGGUUUAUUCCUGAAACCAGAAGCCCUAAACAUAUCUUUGUUUAUAAGGUCAGUCUUCAUUUCCUGUUUCUGUCCUUCCCCACUUAUUUACCAACUCUGUUGUUUUUCAGGUUAUGGAAAGUGUGGAGUAUUCUUUUUGUUUUCCUGCUUGCCGUCAUUUUUUAAAAAAUUGAACUUUCUAAGACGUGCAGACUGGCAUUUUGGGCAUUCUUUUCAUCUUAGAAAAUUUUACAUAAAGCUAAUAAUUAUACUGAAGUCUAGAGGAACAUUCAACUUAAAUGUUCUUUAUUUUAAUAUAUAAAAUUGCAGAGUGAAUUAGUCAUCCAUUUAACAAAAUUCUUAGAUGGGCAUUGACUAUUUAUAUGUUAAACAUUAUAUCAUUCCAAAAAGUGUUAACAUGUAGUAAUGAAGCACUGAGUUUAAAAUCGGAUUGUGCUUUAAGUGAAUUUUGAUUUCUACAGAAUUAUUUAAAUAAAAAUGGAAUUGGACGCCAAUAAAAUUGUUGCCAAUCUACAGUGAGAGUAGCCAAUACGGAAUGACUUUGAAUUUAUUGAAUUCAAUAUAUUGAAUAUAUUUUCUGAACAUUUGAAAUGUUGGUGAUGCAUUAUUAUAGUAUACUUAAGUGAAAUUACCUGCCAGCAUCCUUCUUUCCAUUAACUCUUGCUUUGUACAUGUACAUGUAUCACUAUCAAGCCAUACUUUUUAAUUUACAAAUCAAGUAGUGUCUAUCAGUGGAGCACUGGUAACUCCAACAAUACCCUCAUGUGCUUCUUGUCAUCUGCUUCUGAUAUCGGAAUGCCUGCGGUCCCAUGGAUGUAUUGGGAAUCUCACAUAUUGGCGAUUGGGUUUAUGAUUUCAUGUUCCUCUGCAUAAGGCUUUUUAUGAUUUCAACUAUCACACUAAAUGGGUGGAACUAUGUUGGCUGUCAUGCUAUGGGAAUGUUGGAAUGGCCUGUAGAGUUGUAUAGCAUUUAUUAUAUUUGUUUAUAUCACAAUUCUUCCUUUUAAACAAAAUCCCUUUCAUUCUUGAAUUUUCACAGUUUCUUGUCCCAAUUGAAAACUAACUUUCCUCCCCUUUUGCAGCUUUCUUUUUGUGAUUAUGAUUGUGCAAUAUUAUUGGCCACAACUUUAACCUGAGCAAUUGACACUGAUCCAUCUUCAAAUCAUUCAGAAGACUUGAAGAGAACUCCUCUUUCUUCUUUGGAAUUCAAAUGUAUAUGUUUCAUCUUAAAAUAUUAUUUAAAAGUCAAACAUCUUCAGUACCUAUACAUUAUGUGUAAUUCAAAAAGUUCCUAAAAUACUAUAUUAUGAGCCUUACCUAUAUAGAUAAUUCCUUUCAUGAUUUCAAAUUGAAAGAAGACGUCAUUAAUUAGGCAUAUCAGUCAUGUUUUUUUAGUGUCAAUAUUGUAAUUUUGUAAUAUUGUCAAUAUUUAAUCAAAUUGUUGCACAGAUGCCAAUUAAAUUUUGUUCAAAUAUGCUUUACUUUUCCAUAUUAUAUUUCUGUCAGUAUUCGGGUUUCUUAAUUAGAAAGAUACAGAUAAUUCUGUGCGCAAACUUUUCCACAAUACUAAAUAUCUCUAUAGAGAUAAAGAGAUAUAUAGAUACAUACAACUGGAAUUCUAAGCCGGAUAUUGUUAAAUCUUUGUGGAUUUAUAUCUUUACUGAGUGCCUGUUAACAAGGUACCGUAUUUUUCAGAGUAUAAGAUGCACCAGAGUAUAAGACGCACCAAGGUUUUGAAGAGGCAAAUAAAAAAAAGGUAAGAAGAAUAAUGGGAACUACUCUGGAAAUCAGUGCUUGUUCUGAAAAUCUUUUCUUCUCAAGAUGAGGUACCUGCACAAAUAAUCCAGGAAGUUCAGAAUGUUAUUGUCUCUUGAGAAAUAAUGACUGCUGGAUGACUUUUUAUUAUCUGACCAUAGGGGUACUGUUAAAAUUUAUAACCACUUUUAAAAUAAAGGGAUUUCCCUUUUCUCACAAUCGUGCACAUCAUUGUAUUUGAAUGGAAAGAUUUGACAGGGCAAAGUAAUCCUAAAUACCUUUCCUUUCUUAAUAUAGAAUGUUUUGCACAUGUCAAUUUUCUGUAAAGAUCAGAAUAAUGUUUCUCUUGUCUGCAUAUUUUUGCUAGUUAAUAUUUAUUAGAUGUGCCAAGCUCCAUUGGAUAUAUUUUUCUGUAACUUCUGAAAUUAUUAAAUAACCAUAUAUUGUAUGAGUGCACACAUUAGAACACUGGAAUGUUGACCUAAGCAUUUUUAUGUAAAUAAUUACUAUUCUUCAGUUGCAGAAUAAAGCCUAGAUAUCAUCUCAUAACUGUUGUAUUUUUCCCUAAUGGGAAAUGUUCAGACAUUCUGUGAUGUAUGUACUUGUGCCACUGUUUAUGUGUAACUACUAAUUAUAAAUUGUAAACAUGCUUGUUUCGUUGUUCAGAAUAGUAUUUCUCUUGUUGAAAAUAUUUUCAGUUAAAUGUGAAAAGGAAUUUAUUUAUUUUUUAAAGAUUGUCUUGCAAGGUCUGUUUUCUCUACUUUUUCCCUUAAAAAUAGUAGGGUAAAGAUUGGAAUUUUGUCUAGUUUUUCACUUGAUAGACCAAAGUUACUAUUGACACUGUCUUGCAAUGCUGAUCAAAUGUAUAUCUUUUUGCACUUUAAAUGAAUAAGAAAUGAGGAAAAUCAAAGCGUCAAUUGUACAUACAUUCACUGUACAGUGAAUGUAUACCAUUAGUUAAUCUGUUUUAAACAGAAUAUUUUCCUUUGUGGGAAGGGGAAUACUCAAGCAAUGUAUUUGCUAGUCGAUAUAAAGUGUUUACAUGUAAUUACUUAAUAAAUUAUUUGAUUUAAGAUGGA